rnacentral:tRNA from 1 species
UAGGACAUCACCCUUUCACGGUGGCGACCGGGGUUCGAAUCCCCGUGGGGACGCCA